GGCGAGUGAAGCGGGAAGAGCUCAAAUUUGAAAUCUGGUAGCCUUCGGUUGCCCGAGUUGUAAUCUAGAGAAGUGUUUUCCGUGCCGGCCCAUGUACAGUCCCUUGGAACAGGGCGUCAUAGAGGGUGAGAAUCCCGUCCUUGACAUGGACCCCCGGUGCUUUGUGAUACACUUUCAACGAGUCGAGUUGUUUGGGAAUGCAGCUCAAAAUGGGUGGUGAAUUCCAUCUAAAGCUAAAUAUUGGCGAGAGACCGAUAGCGAACAAGUACCGUGAGGGAAAGAUGAAAAGCACUUUGGAAAGAGAGUUAAACAGUACGUGAAAUUGUUGAAAGGGAAACGAUUGAAGUCAGUCAUGCUCUUUGGUAUUUAUAUCAUUGAGUGGGGUCAACAUCAGUUUUGAUCGAUGGAUAAAGGCACUAGGAAGGUAGCACUCUCGGGUGAACUUAUAGCCUAGCGUCAUAUACAUUGAUUGGGACUGAGGAACGCAGCAUGCCUUUAUGGCCGGGAUUCGUCCACGUACAUGCUUAGGAUGUUGACAUAAUGGCUUUAAACGACCCGUCUUGAAACACG
rnacentral:rRNA from 1 species